rnacentral:rRNA from 1 species
UAGCUAGUUGGUGAGGUAAAGGCUUACCAAGGCGACGAUCUGUAGCGGGUCUGAGAGGAUGAUCCGCCACACUGGAACUGAGACACGGUCCAGACUCCUACGGGAGGCAGCAGUGGGGAAUUUUGGACAAUGGGGGCAACCCUGAUCCAGCCAUGCCGCGUGAGUGAAGAAGGCCUUCGGGUUGUAAAGCUCUUUCGGCCGGGAAGAAAUCGCAUGGGCCAAUACCCUGUGUGGAUGACGGUACCGGAAUAAGAAGCACCGGCUAACUACGUGCCAGCAGCCGCGGUAAUACGUAGGGUGCGAGCGUUAAUCGGAAUUACUGGGCGUAAAGCGUGCGCAGGCGGUUUUGUAAGACAGGCGUGAAAUCCCCGGGCUUAACCUGGGAACUGCGUUUGUGACUGCAAGGCUAGAGUACGGCAGAGGGGGGUGGAAUUCCACGUGUAGCAGUGAAAUGCGUAGAGAUGUGGAGGAACACCAAUGGCGAAGGCAGCCCCCUGGGUCGAUACUGACGCUCAUGCACGAAAGCGUGGGUAGCAAACAGGAUUAGAUACCCUGGUAGUCCACGCCCUAAACUAUGUCAACUAGGUGUUGGGUGGGUAAAACCAUUUAGUACCGUAGCUAACGCGUGAAGUUGACCGCCUGGGGAGUACGGCCGCAAGGUUAAAACUCAAAGGAAUUGACGGGGACCCGCACAAGCGGUGGAUGAUGUGGAUUAAUUCGAUGCAACGCGAAAAACCUUACCUACCCUUGACAUGCCAGGAACUUGCCAGAGAUGGCUUGGUGCCCGAAAGGGAGCCUGGACACAGGUGCUGCAUGGCUGUCGUCAGCUCGUGUCGUGAGAUGUUGGGUUAAGUCCCGCAACGAGCGCAACCCUUGUCGUUAAUUGCCAUCAUUUAGUUGGGCACUUUAACGAGACUGCCGGUGACAAACCGGAGGAAGGUGGGGAUGACGUCAAGUCCUCAUGGCCCUUAUGGGUAGGGCUUCACACGUCAUACAAUGGUCGGUACAAAGGGUUGCCAAGCCGCGAGGCGGAGCCAAUCCCAGAAAGCCGAUCGUAGUCCGGAUUGCAGGCUGCAACUCGCCUGCAUGAAGUCGGAAUCGCUAGUAAUCGUGGAUCAGCAUGUCACGGUGAAUACGUUCCCGGGUCUUGUACACACCGCCCGUCACACCAUGGGAGCGGGUUCCGCCAGAAGUAGGUUGCCUAACCGCAAGGGGGGCGCUUACCACGGCGGGGUUCGUGACUGGGGUGAAGUCGGAACAAGGUAGCCGUAGGGGAACCUGCGGCUG